UAUGUUUUUGGUUUUUUUUUUAAGUAAAGGACCCAGGACUAUGCUUCAUACUUAAAGGGUUUUUUUAAUUAUUAUUUGUGGGUGUACUUUUUAUUUUCAGUGGAGUAAAGCUUAAUUUACAGUAAAACUGGAUUUGGGACCUACCACAAUCCUCAGGGUCACUUUUUCAGGACGUUACUCAUCAAGCUUUAGGUUUUUCCGAGUCAACUGGACCGCGAGGACCUCGCCGAGCGCCGGGUCGGGAGGACGCAGCCUGUGGCCUCGUGACUGGACACGUCGCCCCUCCGGCACGGCUGGACACACCGGGGAGCUGCUCCAACGUCCCAUGGCACAGCUGGACACACCAGGGAGCCGCUCUGGCAGGGCUGGAUGCACCAGGGAGCCUUUCCAACACCGCUCUGGCACGGCUGGAUGCACCAGGGAGCCUUUCCAACACCGCUCUGGCACGGCUGGACACACCGAGGAGCUGCCCUGACAUCCCUCUGGCACGGCUGGACAGGCCCAGGAGGUGCUCCAACAAGGCUGGACAGGUCCAGGAGCUGCUCCAACACCUCUGGCACACCUGGACAUGCCAGGAGCCGCCCUGGCUCGGCUGGACAUGCCAGAAGCCUCACAGAGCCACGCGCCCUGGGCCGAGCGGCUGUCACCGUGCUCAUCGUGACAAACACAGAAAUAAAAAGCGAUUUAAAGGAAGAAACACUAUUGCUGCCGAAUGCCAUAAACACUGAGUUGUACAAAAUUGUGAUCGAGGAAAUGAAACGU